rnacentral:lncRNA from 1 species
UUAUGAUCUGGGGCCUUUGCGUUGAAUUUUGGACAAAACUUAUCGACCUGCGAGUAUAAAGAUAGCCAAUACUGAGCAGUGGUUCCAAAGUGAGGUCUUGAAUUGGGCCGACCUAGCAUUGGGACCUUAAUAGCAAUGGGCCAUUAAGCAAGCUACCCGAGCUCCUCCGAGCUUCAGUUUCUUGCUGCAGGAAACAGGCUCCAGGGCUGGGGCAGGAGAAUGAGGUGAGUGCUCUGCUGGAAGCCCGAGUGCGGCCUGAGCCUGCGCCCCCGAGCCCCUUAACGUGGUGAUUGAUCGCCAGUUGUCCAGAAGACCAGCCGGGGAUCAGCCAAAACGGGCGGGGAAGUUGGCAGGCGCGGGCACGAGGAGAAGUUCAGCCCGGGCCUCAGAAGCUCGGUGGCGAAACUUCUUGACGCCUGCUAUUUAAAGUCUCGGGGCUGCCCCGCCCCCGCGCCGGAACCCGAGUCGUCCCGCCGGGCCGGGCCAGGCAGAGGCGCAGUCAGAGGGAGAACACCGGGCGCGGCGCGGGCGGCCCGACUCCGGCCGGGAGAGGCACGAUGGCGAGCAGCGACAGCAACCACACCAUCGAGAGCUUCCUGGGCUCCGACGCGGUCGAGGAGGCGGCCCGGGAGCUGGAGACCGAGGAAGAGUCGGAGGGCGAGGAGGAGGAAACGGCGGCGGAGUCGGAGGAGGAGCCCGACGCCAGGGUCCUGCCUAACUGCAUAACUGUGUUGGAACCCUUACAUCUGGCCCAAGGAGCAGGAUGGAUCUUGAAAGCUGAGCUAGAGGGGAAGGGCGGAGGCAGAGAAGGCCACUCUGGUACUUUUAAAUGAAUGGUAGCCUCCUGGGAGCCUAGCACUGGGCUACUUUGCUAUAAGGGAACUUUAUUUUGGUACAAAGACUCAUAUAUUUCUUAGAGAAAAGAAGCAUGAAGGCCAGGCAUGGUGGUAUCCAUCUGUAAUCCCAGCACUCAGGAGGCUGAAGCAGGAAGAUUGUGAGUUCAAGACAACUUGGGCUACAUAGUGAGACUGUUUCAGCAACUCCUGCUCUUAAGUUUCUGCUGGUUCCAAGGUCCCAAAUAAUCAAUUUGUCAGAAAAUGUGAAUAAUUUUUAUAUAAAUAUAAUUGUAUAAUAACAUAACUAUUAUUAUUAUUGAUCCCCUCUCCUUCGUGUAGGUCCUUAAAUGAGAAUGGUAGGAAUCAUCUCCUUUUGGAUAUGGUUCUACCUUUCUUGUUCUCUAAAUAUGAGUGUUUUUUUUUUUUUUCUGAAUGUGUGUUAGUAAAUGUAUCUCUUUUUGACUAUUUGUGUCAGUAGAAAACCUUCAAAGAUGGCAUAACAGUUGGAUGUAUACCAUUUCAGAAUGCCCAUCUUACCCAAAGUUAAAAGUACUGCCCAACCAAGGCCAGCAGAGCUAAAGUUGAGGAAGGAGCUUGUAGAGUGGCACUGAUUAGGGUGAAUGGUGAAUCAGAUA